rnacentral:rRNA from 1 species
GAUGAACGCUGGCGGCGCGCCUAACACAUGCAAGUCGAACGGAGUUAUUUCAGCAGAAGCUUUCGGGUGGACGCAGGGAUAACUUAGUGGCGAACGGGUGAGUAACACGUGAGGAACCUGCCCUGGAGUGGGGGAUAACAGUUGGAAACGACUGCUAAUACCGCAUAAGCCCACGGCCCGGCAUCGGGUUGAGGGAAAAGGAUUUAUUCGCUUCAGGAUGGACUCGCGUCCAAUUAGCUAGUUGGCGGGGUAACGGCCCACCAAGGCGACGAUCAGUAGCCGGACUGAGAGGUUGAACGGCCACAUUGGGACUGAGACACGGCCCAG